AUGCUCGCUUCUGCAUCACGUAUACUAAAAUCACCGGAACGAUGCAGAGAAGAUUGGCACAGCCCCUGCACAAGGAAGAAAUAGCUAAUUCCCAGCCUCAAGGGCCACUGUG
ensembl:snRNA U6 U6 spliceosomal RNA